CUAUGCUUCAAUAGGUGGGAGGACCCCAGCUACGGUGGGCACUUAUCAUGUCCCCUCAAAACAAUUCGCCGCUGCCACAAAGUUUCAACAAAUCGACUGGACCCUCCAACCAUGUGUAUGCACCGCUGGCCCCUGCCCCUGACUUACGUAGCUAAGACAACUUUCAAUCGCUGUGGCAGCAGCCACUACUGCCGGAGCAGCAGACGGCACCUAGCAGGGCAUAUGGAAUUCAUGUGCCACAACCACAAUGUUUCAACAAGUUGACUGGACCCUGCAAUCCUGUGUAUGAACUGUUGGCCUCUGCCCCCAACAUACGUAGCUACAACAAUUAUCAAUCGCUGUGCCAGCAGCCACUACCUC